rnacentral:rRNA from 1 species
CGACGAGUGGCGAACGGGUGAGUAACACGUGAGUAACCUGCCCACAACUUUGGGAUAACGCUAGGAAACUGGUGCUAAUACUGGAUAUGUGCUCCUGCUGCAUGGUGGGGGUUGGAAAGCUCCGGCGGUUGUGGGUGGACUCGCGGCCUAUCAGCUUGUUGGUGGGGUAGUGGCCUACCAAGGCGGCGACGGGUAGCCGGCCUGAGAGGGUGACCGGCCACAUUGGGACUGAGAUACGGCCCAG